UUAAAAGUUAAUGAGAGAGUAGAUGUUAAAUGUUCUCACCACAAAAAAGAAAUGGUAAUAAUAUGAUGUGAUGCAGGUGUUAGCCAACACUGUGGUGGUCAUCAUUUUGCAAUAUAUAAGUGUAUCAA